CAGUCGCCGCGGGAAUACCGAGGGUGCAAGCGUUAAUCGGAAUUACUGGGCGUAAAGCGCGCGUAGGUGGUUCGCCAAGUUGGAUGUGAAAUCCCCGGGCUCAACCUGGGAACUGCAUCCAAAACUGGCGAGCUAGAGUAUGGUAGAGGGUGGUGGAAUUUCCUGUGUAGCGGUGAAAUGCGUAGAUAUAGGAAGGAACAUCAGUGGCGAAGGCGACCACCUGGACUGAUACUGACACUGAGGUGCGAAAGCGUGGGGAGCAAACAGGAUUAGAUACCCGGGUAGUCCCUGUCUCUUAUAC
rnacentral:rRNA from 1 species